ACCUCCGUUUUCAUUUGCGUCAUAGGUUUGUGUACUCUCGUUCACUUGAGGGCCAACUGGCCUCAAUACAGAUAACUGAAAACACACUACAGAAAUCAGCGAGAACAUAUGGAGAAAAAAAAUUGUCUUCUAGUUCAUGAUGCGAGGACGUCAUUUCAUCUUUUUGCUACUCGCAAGCGUGAAUAAUCUAAACCAUAGGAUAUCUUAAAAUGAAGGUAUAAUGUGAGAGAUCAACCGGCCUAGUUAUUUACUUAUCGCGUCGUGUCUUAUCAAGUUUAGUUUUCAAUUUCCAUUCGAUUUCAUAACAAUGUAAUAAUGUAUCUUUUGUGAAAAGGGAAAGCGGUUGGGUCAGACGAAUAGGUCAAAUUACCCUCUUAUUUGGGCCAACCUGCAAUCUGUUGGUCAAAUUAUUAAUUGUCUGUUUGACGGGGUGCUGCUUCAGUAUUUAAAUCCGUUAUACAUUCAUUCAUAGAGCUCCAAUGGUCCAAUCGUCCAUCACACUCAGGACAGUGCCUACCAACAGCGGUGAUAGUUUAAUCACUGACCCAUAACCAUUCGGGCUCAGUAGGCUAUUUGCUUGAAUGAUAUUACAAGCAUUAUGCGUCUGUCUCGUCCCCAUAUUACAGCGUAGAACCGUGGCGAUGUUUAACUAUAUCAUUAGACGAAGAAUCCAGCGAAACUGUUGGGAAAGACAACCGUUUGGAUAUAAUAAAAGUCGGCUAAGAAGAUAGGACGAAUUGAUAAAUCCUUCGGAUUUGCCUCAGAGUUCUACAAUGCCUCAUAAAAAGGCACCCCAGAUCAUGCUGGACUUGUUCAACGCAGUGGAACAGUGGAAUUUAGAGGGCAAUGUGGUGCGGAGCUUCGAGGACAGAGGUGCGUUAUCAACAAACGCAUACUUACGCACGGCUGAUGUUACUUUUGUGCCCAAGCAUGUUUGAAAUUAAUGAAGAAAAAAAAUACUUCAAUUAUCUUAAAGGGGAAAACUUGCAGACUUGUUAUUUUAACACAAUUCAUUAUAUUUAUUUUUAUGCAUGUUGGUGGAAGGUGUAAUUCCUUAAAUGUAUUCUCAUUUGGUAGAGAUUAGAGCAUGAUCUAUGUAUAAUUUCACUGGUUCAGGCAAAAACAACGACUUUUCCUUGGGAAGUCAUAUGGACCCCAUUUCUACAAGGUAGACCUCUAUGAGGUGUUAGACAGCAGAGCGAAACCUUGGAGAUGGAAUCUAAUCACGCCAAGACUGUUGCCUUUAUACACUCAGGGAUGGAAAGUCUUCAACGUCACACAAACGGUGUCCAAGUGGAUUUGCAGGAUUCGCAACAGCGAGGAGAAUAAUGGAAUUCAGGUUGGUAUUAAACUGCCAUCGGGUAAGUGGAUUGAGUCGGUCCUGCCGUCUUCUGAGAGACAGGGAGAAUCACCCGAGGAGAAUGCCUACCUACAGUGGUUAUAUUCUCAGCCGAUGGAAGAUGCUCGACCACUAAUCGAUCACCAAAUCAAGCCACGCCACAACACCUGACAGUCCGAAGGUAUCGUCUCAAGAAAGCAGGAGCAGGCGGAAAUGCGCAGCACCAAGUUAUCCCCGCAGCCGCCCCAUGUCAUGCCAGCGGAUCCUUGUGGACUUCGAGGUAAUCGGCUGGGCUGGCUGGAUCGUUUCUCCACGGGGUUACAAUGCUUACUACUGCAAGAGCUCCUGUCCGUUCCCACUCGGAAUGUUUCCGUGCCACGAAUCACUCGACUGUGCAGUCUGUCAUGCACGCUCUAAAGCUCUCCAAUGAGAAGGAAAACGUGGUUCUGAAACAGUAUGACGAUAUGGUUUCGUUUUGAACAGCUUUCAGAAAUCUUGGUUGAAUUGAAAAUAUUAACAGUAUGUCCAGUGAUUCAUGUAUAAAUGUGUUUUUGUAAGAAAUAAAAGUUGGUUGUUACAAUUGAA